rnacentral:rRNA from 1 species
CCUACGGGAGGCAGCAGUGAGGAAUAUUGGACAAUGGGCGCAAGCCUGAUCCAGCCAUGCCGCGUGCAGGAUGACGGUCCUAUGGAUUGUAAACUGCUUUUGCACAGGAAGAAACAACAUUACGUGUAAUGUCUUGACGGUACUGUGAGAAUAAGGAUCGGCUAACUCCGUGCCAGCAGCCGCGGUAAUACGGAGGAUCCAAGCGUUAUCCGGAAUCAUUGGGUUUAAAGGGUCCGUAGGCGGUUUAGUAAGUCAGUGGUGAAAGCCCAUCGCUCAACGGUGGAACGGCCAUUGAUACUGCUAGACUUGAAUUAUUAGGAAGUAACUAGAAUAUGUAGUGUAGCGGUGAAAUGCUUAGAGAUUACAUGGAAUACCAAUUGCGAAGGCAGGUUACUACUAAUGGAUUGACGCUGAUGGACGAAAGCGUGGUAGCGAACAGGAUUAGAUACCCUGGUAGUCCACGCCGUAAACGAUGGAUACUAGCUGUUGGGAGCAAUUUCAGUGGCUAAGCGAAAGUGAUAAGUAUCCCACCUGGGGAGUACGUUCGCAAGAAUGAAACUUAAAGGAAUUGACGG